ACUAAUUACAAGAACCAGGGGCGGAAAUUCCAGCCCUCUCGAUUGUUACGUAGCACGGACAGACUAUACGCCUGGUGGUCGUUCCCCAUCGGGCCUGAAAACCGCAAUACGCUGGGUAACAAUCUUCGA
rnacentral:sRNA from 1 species